AUCCUCGUGUUCAUAAACAUGAUGAUUGGUUUUUCAGGCUGUUGUGUGAGAUGUGACUACCUUGAAACUUAUUGCAAUGUUAGCACAUUACCUGAAU
rnacentral:snoRNA from 1 species